rnacentral:rRNA from 1 species
GACGAACGCUGGCGGCGUGCCUAAUACAUGCAAGUUGAGCGCUGAAGGUUGGUACUUGUACCGACUGGAUGAGCAGCGAACGGGUGAGUAACGCGUGGGGAAUCUGCCUUUGAGCGGGGGACAACAUUUGGAAACGAAUGCUAAUACCGCAUAAAAACUUUAAACACAAGUUUUAAGUUUGAAAGAUGCAAUUGCAUCACUCAAAGAUGAUCCCGCGUUGUAUUAGCUAGUUGGUGAGGUAAAGGCUCACCAAGGCGAUGAUACAUAGCCGACCUGAGAGGGUGAUCGGCCACAUUGGGACUGAGACACGGCCCAAACUCCUACGGGAGGCAGCAGUAGGGAAUCUUCGGCAAUAGACGAAAGUCUGACCGAGCAACGCCGCGUGAGUGAAGAAGGUUUUCGGAUCGUAAAACUCUGUUGGUAGAGAAGAACGUUGGUGAGAGCGGAAAGCUCAUCAAGUGACGGUAACUACCCAGAAAGGGACGGCUAACUACGUG